AUUGAACGCUGGCGGCAGGCCUAACACAUGCAAGUCGAGCGAGCGGCGGACGGGUGAGUAAUGCCUGGGAAUUGCCCAGUCGAGGGGGAUAACAGUUGGAAACGACUGCUAAUACCGCAUACGAUUGGAUUGCCCAGGUGGGAUUAGCUCGUAGGGGGGGUAAUGGCUCACAAAGGCGCCAUUCCCUAGCUGGUCUGAGAGGAUGAUCAGCCAGACUUGAAAGGAGACAAGGUCCAGCAUCCUACGGGAGGCAGCAGUGGGGAAUAUUGCGACAGGGGGGAAACCCUGAUGCAGCCAUGCCGCGUGUGUGAAGAAGGCCUUCGGGUUGUAAAGCACUUUCAGCGAGGAGGCGUUACUCGCAGAAGAAGCACCGGCUAACUCCGUGCCAGCAGCCGCGGUAAUAC
rnacentral:rRNA from 1 species